rnacentral:tRNA from 1 species
GGAGCGGCCCGGGGCCGGUGCCCCGACCGGCCUUCAAAGCCGGGGGAGCCGUGCUGCACGGCUGGAAGGUUCGACUCCUUCGCCGCUCCG